rnacentral:rRNA from 1 species
UGGGGAAUAUUGCACAAUGGGCGCAAGCCUGAUGCAGCCAUGCCGCGUGUAUGAAGAAGGCCUUCGGGUUGUAAAGUACUUUCAGCGGGGAGGAAGGGAGUAAAGUUAAUACCUUUGCUCAUUGACGUUACCCGCAGAAGAAGCACCGGCUAACUCCGUUCCAGCAGCCGCGGUAAUACGGAGGGUGCAAGCGUUAAUCGGAAUUACUGGGCGUAAAGCGCACGCAGGCGGUUUGUUAAGUCAGAUGUGAAAUCCCCGGGCUCAACCUGGGAACUGCAUCUGAUACUGGCAAGCUUGAGUCUCGUAGAGGGGGGUAGAAUUCCAGGUGUAGCGGUGAAAUGCGUAGAGAUCUGGAGGAAUACCGGUGGCGAAGGCGGCCCCCUGGACGAAGACUGACGCUCAGGUGCGAAAGCGUGGGGAGCAAACA